AAAUAACUGACCCAGAUAAGAUUUGGCAGUCUGGUAGCAAGAAGCCAGAAAGGAAGGAGCAAUCUUUCUUUUCUAAGCGGCUUGACAAAGUCCGCCUCGGGCGGGCGAUGCAAAAGACGGGUUGCAACGAAAGUGAAUCCAGGUGUAGCUUCGUAAACAUUAAAGGGUGAGGAGGGCGACCCCGUAUCUUAUGGGGGAAGCCAGCAACUUCUAUUAUGAGCCAAGAGCGAUAGAAGUCUCCUUCGGAGUAUCAGGAGC
rfam:Candidatus Gracilibacteria bacterium CG1_02_38_174 cg_0.2_sub10_scaffold_329_c, whole genome shotgun sequence.